CCACGUGUUUCGUCUUACCUACAUGAUAUUGGCUAUCAUAGAUGGUCAAGAGUACAUGCAACGGCAAAUAGAACUUUUACUAUGACAUCAAACAUUGCAAAGUUGUUGAACGCUGUUACAAAAGAGGCAAGAGAGCUGCCAAUAUUUGAUCUAUUGGAAUAUAUGAGGACUAUUAUAGAACGUUGGAGAAAAGACAAGUUAUUGAAUGCAAAGGGUACUUUCACAUUACUUGGGCACAAAUUCAACAA
rnacentral:lncRNA from 1 species